rfam:Camelus ferus unplaced genomic scaffold scaffold897, whole genome shotgun sequence.
GAAGGUAUAGCUCAAGUGGUAGAGCACAUGUGUAGCAUGCCUGAGGUCCUGGGUUCAAUCCCCAGUACCUCCA